rnacentral:lncRNA from 1 species
CCCCCCUUUUUUAAGCAUAAAAAUUCAUAACACGGAAAUGUAAAAUCUGAAAUUUAUAAAAAUUGAAAGGGAGCUUACAUCAAUAGAUAUAAACAAUUCACCAAAGUUUCAUGGACAUCGGUGAAAGCCUUUUUGAGUUAUUGUCCGAAGUGUUGAAAAUCCCCCUUUUUUUUAUGAAUAAAGCCCCAUAAAUCCAAAACUUAAAAUCUGAAAUUUAUAAAAAUUGAAAGGGAGCUUACAUCAAUAGAUAUAAACAAUUCACCAAAGUUUCAUGGACAUUGGUGAAAGCCUUUUUGAGUUAUUGUCCGAAGUGUUGAAAAUUAACCUUUUUUUAUGAAUAAAGCCCCAUUAAUCCAAAACUUAAAAUCUGAAAUUUAUAAAAAUUGAAAGGGAGCUUACAUCAAUAGAUAUAAACAAUUCACCAAAGUUUCACGGACAUUGGUGAAAGACUUUUUGAGUUAUUUACCGAAGUGUUGAAAAUCCCCCCUUUUUUAUGAAUAAAGCCCCAUAAAUCCAAAACUUAAAAUCUGAAAUUAAAAAAAAAAACGAAAGGGAGCUUACGUCAAUAGAUAUAAACAAUUCACUGAAGUUUCAUGGAAAUUGGUGAAAGUGUUUUUGAGUUAUUGUCCGAAGUGUGGACGACGGACGGACGGACGGACAGACGGACGGACGGACGGACAACGGUAUACCAUAAUACGUCCCGUCUAAAAGACGACGGGCGUAUAAAAAGGA